rnacentral:rRNA from 1 species
AUUGAACGCUGGCGGCAGGCCUAACACAUGCAAGUCGAACGGUAACAGGGAUCAGCUUGCUGAUUCGCUGACGAGUGGCGGACGGGUGAGUAAUGUCUGGGAAACUGCCUGAUGGAGGGGGAUAACUACUGGAAACGGUAGCUAAUACCGCAUAACGUCGCAAGACCAAAGAGGGGGACCUUCGGGCCUCUUGCCAUCGGAUGUGCCCAGAUGGGAUUAGCUAGUAGGUGGGGUAACGGCUCACCUAGGCGACGAUCCCUAGCUGGUCUGAGAGGAUGACCAGCCACACUGGAACUGAGACACGGUCCAGACUCCUACGGGAGGCAGCAGUGGGGAAUAUUGCACAAUGGGCGCAAGCCUGAUGCAGCCAUGCCGCGUGUAUGAAGAAGGCCUUCGGGUUGUAAAGUACUUUCAGCGGGGAGGAAGGGAGUAAAGUUAAUACCUUUGCUCAUUGACGUUACCCGCAGAAGAAGCACGGGCUAACUCCGUG